rnacentral:misc_RNA from 1 species
UUUGAAGACUUGCUGUCCUCACAUAUUAUGCGACCUGCUAAUAUCUUACGUCAGUUGAAACAUCUGAAACAACUCCUUCAUACUUUUAAGAUGCCAACACCAACUUCAAAUUGGUUGUGUCUAAGACAGCCUGUGGAAACCCAUCUAUUCCAUUAGGUGCAUGCAUCCACCCUCUGCUGAGCUUCAUACCCUGGAGUCUUAUGGGCCUCAUUCCAGUUUCAUUGACCGCUAUAUUGGAUCCUUUGGUGCAGUGACCUUUUACAGUAGGAACCACUGCGCAAGGGUGCCACGACUGAUGAAACUACAUUAUGCAGGUUGUGGAGUGCUUAUUCAGUUCUUCCUUCCUUUGUGCUGCCAACAUCUUUUAUUACCUUCCGAAGGUUACCUUCUGCAAAAAGAAUCAUUAUGCAAUGCAGCUCCACAAGUUGGAGAAACGGUUGAAUGAUGUAAUGUCUAUAUUCCUCUGCUAAUUUUGGCAACUUGACCUGCAAAUAAACUUGGUAUUUCAACUCCUAAUUGCUAGAAAUGGGCUCUUUAACCCUCAUACACUUAUGUCCUUCACACCGCUUUCUUCCUACUGUAGGUUGGCUGGUGCAGAA